UAAUCCCUCGGUUUGGUAGGGGAUGC
rnacentral:piRNA from 1 species